rnacentral:rRNA from 1 species
AAAUUGAAGAGUUUGAUCAUGGCUCAGAUUGAACGCUGGCGGCAGGCCUAACACAUGCAAGUCGAACGGUAACAGGAAGCAGCUUGCUGCUUUGCUGACGAGUGGCGGACGGGUGAGUAAUGUCUGGGAAACUGCCUGAUGGAGGGGGAUAACUACUGGAAACGGUGGCUAAUACCGCAUAACGUCGCGAGACCAAAGAGGGGGACCUUCGGGCCUCUUGCCAUCAGAUGUGCCCAGAUGGGAUUAGCUUGUUGGUGAGGUAACGGCUCACCAAGGCGACGAUCCCUAGCUGGUCUGAGAGGAUGACCAGCCACACUGGAACUGAGACACGGUCCAGACUCCUACGGGAGGCAGCAGUGGGGAAUAUUGCACAAUGGGCGCAAGCCUGAUGCAGCCAUGCCGCGUGUAUGAAGAAGGCCUUCGGGUUGUAAAGUACUUUCAGCGGGGAGGAAGGUGUUGUGGUUAAUAACC